rnacentral:sRNA from 1 species
UUGAAAAGGGGGUCCCGCGGAAGCAACAAGGUACGAUAGACACGGGUGGAGGUUGACCCAGAGGGCCCUCACUCGGUAAUGACUUCCGUAGGUGAACCUGCGGAAGGAUCAUUACCGAGUGAGGGCCCUCUGGGUCCAACCUCCCACCCGUGUCUAUCGUACCUUGUUGCUUCGGCGGGCCCGCCGUUUCGACGGCCGCCGGGGAGGCCUUGCGCCCCCGGGCCCGCGCCCGCCGAAGACCCCAACAUGAACGCUGUUCUGAAAGUAUGCAGUCUGAGUUGAUUAUCGUAAUCAGUUAAAACUUUCAACAACGGAUCUCUUGGUUCCGGCAUCGAUGAAGAACGCAGCGAAAUGCGAUAAGUAAUGUGAAUUGCAGAAUUCAGUGAAUCAUCGAGUCUUUGAACGCACAUUGCGCCCCCUGGUAUUCCGGGGGGCAUGCCUGUCCGAGCGUCAUUGCUGCCCUCAAGCACGGCUUGUGUGUUGGGCCCCCGUCCCCCUCUCCCGGGGGACGGGCCCGAAAGGCAGCGGCGGCACCGCGUCCGGUCCUCGAGCGUAUGGGGCUUUGUCACCUGCUCUGUAGGCCCGGCCGGCGCCAGCCGACACCCAACUUUAUUUUUCUAAGGUUGACCUCGGAUCAGGUAGG